UGAAUGAGAUGCACUUUAAAUGCAAAUUUUUAGUAAGAGUGAAUUAUCUUUGUUUUUUGAGGUUUACAUUGAUCUUCUCAUUUUAUUUUUCAGCGGAACUUCGGAAAGUAUUUGAACCUCAGGGAAAAAAUGAUGAACAUCAGAAAAAGGAUGGUAAAGUCUCUUUUAUAUCCCUUUACUCCCCAAACACUGUAAAAUGUCAGCUUUCCUGAUGUCGAAAAUAUAUCCCAGCUUUUAGUGAGCAGGUCAUCAUUGGCUCGCCCUCUUCCAGAUCUCUACUAUUCUAGCGAGAUAUUUUGCUUACGGACUUCUUCCAUGUUCUUCCCUUUUCUGCUCUUUCAAAGCUUACAUAUUCCAAUAUAAUAAAAGAUAAUUCAUUUUGGACA
rnacentral:lncRNA from 1 species